UGGCGGGGAGGGUUCCUGGCACCGUGAUUUGGUGGAUAAACAGAAAUGAAAAUCACAUUGCCAGGGAUUUCCACUCCUGC
rnacentral:pre_miRNA from 8 species